rnacentral:rRNA from 1 species
CUACGGGACGCUCCAGUGGGGAAUAUUGCACAAUGGGCGCAAGCCUGAUGCAGCCAUGCCGCGUGUAUGAAGAAGGCCUUCGAGUUGUAAAGUACUUUCAGCGGGGAGGAAGGGAGUAAAGUUAAUACCUUUGCUCAUUGACGUUACCCGCAGAAGAAGCACCGGCUAACUCCGUGCCAGCAGCCGCGGUAAUACGGAGGGUGCAAGCGUUAAUCGGAAUUACUGGGCGUAAAGCGCCCGCAGGCGGUUUGUUAAGUCAGAUGUGAAAUCCCCGGGCUCAACCUGGGAACUGCAUCUGAUACUGGCAAGCUUGAGUCUCGUAGAGGGGGGUAGAAUUCCAGGUGUAGCGGUGAAAUGCGUAGAGAUCUGGAGGAAUACCGGUGGCGAAGGCGGCCCCCUGGACGAAGACUGACGCUCAGGUGCGAAAGCGUGGGGAGCAAACAGGAUUAGAUACCCUCGUAGUC